rnacentral:rRNA from 1 species
AGAUUAAACUGAAGAGUUUGAUCCUGGCUCAGAUUGAACGCUGGCGGCAUGCCUUACACAUGCAAGUCGAACGGCAGCGCGGGCUUCGGCCUGGCGGCGAGUGGCGGACGGGUGAGUAAUGCAUCGGAACGUGCCCACGAGUGGGGGAUAACGUAGCGAAAGUUACGCUAAUACCGCAUACGUACUGAGGUAGAAAGCGGGGGAUCGAAAGACCUCGCGCUCAUGGAGCGGCCGAUGUCGGAUUAGCUAGUUGGUGGGGUAAAAGCUCACCAAGGCGACGAUCCGUAGCUGGUCUGAGAGGACGACCAGCCACACUGGGACUGAGACACGGCCCAGACUCCUACGGGAGGCAGCAGUGGGGAAUUUUGGACAAUGGGCGCAAGCCUGAUCCAGCAAUGCCGCGUGCAGGAUGAAGGCCUUCGGGUUGUAAACUGCUUUUGUACGGAACGAAACGGCGAGCUCUAAUACAGUUUGCUAAUGACGGUACCGUAAGAAUAAGCACCGGCUAACUACGUGCCAGCAGCCGCGGUAAUAC